UACGUAGGAUGCAAGCGUUGUCCGGAGUUACUGGGCGUAAAGCGUGUGCAGGCGGCUCUUUGCGUCGGUGGCGAAAUCUCCUGGCUUAACUGGGAGGGGGCCAUCGAUACGGGGGAGCUUGAGGGCUAGAGAGGGAAGUAGAACUCCCGGUGGACCAGUGAAAUGGGUAGAUAUCGGGAAGAAUACCUGAGGUGAAGACGGCUUCCUGGCUAGCACCUGACGCUCAUACACGAAAGCUUGGGGAGCAAACAGG
rnacentral:rRNA from 1 species